rnacentral:tRNA from 2 species
GCCUUCGUAGCUCAGUUGGUCAGAGCAUCCGACUCUUAAUCGGAGGGUCCCGAGUUCAAGUCUCGGCGAGGGCA